AUUGAACGCUGGCGGCAGGCCUAACACAUGCAAGUCGAGCGGAUGAAGGGAGCUUGCUCCUGGAUUCAGCGGCGGACGGGUGAGUAAUGCCUAGGAAUCUGCCUGGUAGUGGGGGAUAACGUCCGGAAACGGGCGCUAAUACCGCAUACGUCCUGAGGGAGAAAGUGGGGGAUCUUCGGACCUCACGCUAUCAGAUGAGCCUAGGUCGGAUUAGCUAGUUGGUGGGGUAAAGGCCUACCAAGGCGACGAUCCGUAACUGGUCUGAGAGGAUGAUCAGUCACACUGGAACUGAGACACGGUCCAGACUCCUACGGGAGGCAGCAGUGGGGAAUAUUGGACAAAGGGGGAAAGCCUGAUCCAGCCAUGCCGCGUGUGUGAAGAAGGUCUUCGGAUUGUAAAGCACUUUAAGUUGGGAGGAAGGGCAGUAAGUUAAUACCUUGCUGUUUUGACGUUACCAACAGAAUAAGCACCGGCUAACUUCGUG
rnacentral:rRNA from 1 species